rnacentral:rRNA from 1 species
AAAGAGUGCGUAAUAGCUCACUGGUCGAGUGAAGUUGCGCGGAAAAUUACCGGGGCUAAGCUAUACACCGAAAUUGCGGAUUUGCAGUUGAAAGAUACUGUAAGUGGUAGAGGAGCAUUCUGUAGUAGGACGAAGCAGUACCGAAAGGAGCUGUGGACGAGGCAGAAGAGAGAAUGCUGGAAUAAGUAGCGAGAGGAUGGUGAGAAUCCAUCCCGUCGAAAAUCUAAGGUUUCCUAGGGAAGGUUCGUCCGCCUAGGGUAAGUCGGGACCUAAGGAGAGGCCAAAAGGCGUAUCUGAUGGACAGCAGGUUGAAAUUCCUGCACUAUAGCUAUACUUAAAAGAUGCAAGGGACGCAGAAGUGGAAGAUAACCAUGGAAGAGGAAAGACAUGGCCCGCAAGGGGGAGUGAAACAAUAAGUAACGAAGUAUCAAGAAGCACGCUGACGAGAAAAGCUUGUAGAUAUUGUAUAGAAAUACCCGUACCGCAAACCGACACAGGUAGAUGAGGAGAGGAUCCUAAGACGAGCGGGAGAAGCAUUGUUAAGGAACUCGGCAAAUUAACCCCGUAACUUCGGAAUAAGGGGUACUGAUGUAACAGUCAGUCGCAGAGAAAAGGCCCAAGCAACUGUUUAACAAAAACAUAGGUUUCUGCUAAAUCGAAAGAUGAAGUAUAGGAGCUGACGCCUGCCCAGUGCUGGAAGGUUAAGGGAAGAGGUUAGAUUAUAUCAAAGCUUCGAACUGAAGCCCCAGUGAACGGCGGCCGUAACUAUAACGGUCCUAAGGUAGCGAAAUUCCUUGUCAGGUAAGUUCUGACCCGCACGAAAGGCGUAAUGAUUUGGGCACUGUCUCGACAAUGUCCCCGGCGAAAUUGUAGUACUAGUGAAGAUGCUAGUUACCUGCGAUAAGACAGAAAGACCCCAUGGAGCUUUACUGCAGUUUGAUACUGGGUUUCGAUGAUUUAUGUACAGGAUAGUUGGGAGGCUAUGAGUAAGAGGCGUCAGCUUCUUAGGAGCCAACGUUGGGAUACCAACCUUAAGUUAUUGAAAUUCUAACCUUUGAUCAUGAACUGGUCAGGGGACAAUGUCAGACGGGCAGUUUGACUGGGGCGGUCGCCUCCUAAAGAGUAACGGAGGCGUCCAAAGGUUCCCUCAGCGCGGACAGAAAUCGCGCGAAAGAGUGCAAAGGCAGAAGGGAGCUUAACUGAGAGACAGACAUGUCGACCAGAUACGAAAGUAGGGCUUAGUGAUCCGGUGGUUGUAAAUGGAAAUGCCAUCGCUCAACGGACAAAAGUUACCCUGGGGAUAACAGGCUUAUCUCCCCCAAGAGUUCACAUCGACGGGGAGGUUUGGCACCUCGAUGUCGGCUCAU